rnacentral:lncRNA from 1 species
GGGAUAGCUUGAUCGAGGGCUAUCCCAACCGAGUUUGCCAAGGCUGUUAAAAAGUUAUGUAUGCAUAAAUCAUGUUUUUAUUUUGAAAACAUAGCCGUUCCUUGGCGUUGGCUGAGUUCACCCUCAUGUGGUUGGUUUGCGUGAAGUGAAACUCUAAAGUUAUACCUCGGGAGUUACCCUACUCGCCUCUCCAAUCGAGGUAAACUAUAACGGGAUUCUGUGCCCCUCUAAUAGGCUGGUCCACAGAAAACCCGUCCACUGUAGCAAGUUAAACCCACCAUACAAUAAAAUUUGCAAUAGCAUGACAUGGCAAUUAUUUUAUUUUAUUUUACAGCCUUUCAAGACAAAUCAACAAUUUUUACAUUUCCAACACAUUUAUCAAAUCAACCAUACAUGCCAAUAUUGCCAUAAGCCAAUCAAUUAGAAUCAUGAAUUUACAACACACAAAAACAAUAUUCAAUUACUCUAUUUUCAAACCAUCAUUCAAUUUUAAAACAAUUUUAUGAAAUCAUUUCAUUAAAUCACAUUUUGUUUAUAAAAUCAAAAAAUUAAUCAUUUAAUUCAUUUUCCAUAAAAUUCACAAAAUCGAAUAAAACAUACUUUAGAUAAUUAAGAUGAUGAUAAGGUUACUCACUAUUUCAGGAGUCGAAUUCCAAGUACUCCGAUUCUUGAUCCUCGGGUACUAUCUCUUUACUUUUGGCAGAAUGCUCACCACCUAGACAUAAAGCACAAUAAGCCAUUUACUACAUUGUGCUAAAUUGUUAUAAAACCAAUUCAGACUUUAUACUAAUAUAUGAAAUGGGAUGCAAAUUGCUCGGAUUAUUGUCUAAACACGGUGCUCUACACAAAUUCAUUUGUGUACCUAAAUUAAACAGGUAUUGGCCUUAUUCGAUUUAUCGCUCGAUUAAUUGGCCAAUACGUCCAAUUCAACUCCAAAUAAUUUCAUGUUUCUCCCAAUACUCCAAAUCAUCAAAUACAAAUUAAAUAACUUGAAAUAUGACAAAAUCAUCCUCACAUUUUCUCUUGGAAAAUUCGGCCAUGGUGGGUGCAUCAACACUAUAAUUUUUCCUACUUGAUUCUCACACCAUAAAUCACUAAUUCCUAACCAAAUCACUUGAAAUAAAAUCAAAAUCAUCAUCAAUAUUCUACAUGGAGAAUUCGACCAAUGAUGGGUGAUGGGAGAACAUGAAUUUUUCUUGCUUGAUUUUCAUGCUACACAUCACCAAUCAACUAAAAACACUACAAUACAUUAAAAUCUAACCAAAUCAAGCAUCAAAACCUCUCUCCUAGGGUUUGAUCAGCACACUAUCCUUCAUGAUAUCUUGUGGUUCAAGCAUGAAAAAUGCAAAAUAAUGCAUGGGAAAGGUAGAUCACAAGUCAAAAUCAAGAAAUUUUACCUUUGAUUGCUUGAUUACUUGAAAUCCACCAAUUUUCUCUUGAAUUUUCACCCUAGGGUUCUUGUUCUUCCUUUUUCUUCCUUUGUUCUUGCUUUGGCCGGCCAUAUGAAGAGAAAUAGGCUGAUUUUGUG